rnacentral:tRNA from 12 species
GGGCCUUUAGCUCAGUUGGUAGAGCGGUCGGCUCAUAACCGAUUGGUCCGGGGUUCGAGUCCCUGAAGGCCCACCA